rnacentral:rRNA from 1 species
UACGUAGGGUGCAAGCGUUGUCCGGAAUUAUUGGGCGUAAAGAGCUCGUAGGCGGUUUGUCGCGUCUGCUGUGAAAACCGGAGGCUCAACCUCCGGCCUGCAGUGGGUACGGGCAGACUAGAGUGCGGUAGGGGAGAUUGGAAUUCCUGGUGUAGCGGUGGAAUGCGCAGAUAUCAGGAGGAACACCGAGUGGCGAAGGCAGAUCUCU